GGCCGGUUUUACCGGGUAGGGGUCAUGGCGCUGCCCCUCUGCACAGGACACUCAGGUCUGCUCCCUGUUCGGGUGCUGCACGGGCGCUGUCGUGUGUGCACAUCGCACGCUCAAAAUGGCGGUGUUGCUCUCUACCAAGGUCACAGGGGGAUCGCGGUGGGCUGUUCUGGUCGCUCCUUGUUCCCGAGUGGCUGACGGGACUCAGGUCGCGGGGUUUGGUUUAGGAGCCCGCCUCUCUUGUCGCACAGGGAGGGGCGGGAGGAGCCGCAGGAAGCGAGCUGCCGCCUGGGGAGGGGGCGCGGAAGGGGCGGAGGGUGUGGCGGAACUGGGAGGAGACAGCAGGGCGUGGGUGGUGGCUCCGAGAGGGGGAAGCACGUGGAGGGGCCAGGGGCUCCCUGGCACCUGGCUCCCAUGCCAGCCUGGAAACACAGGCUGCGGUGAGGCCCUAACUGUUAGCCACAGCACUGCAGUCCCGAGGGGCUCGUUUGAUCUGAAAAUUUGCUGGGCACUGAGGAUUGGUUUCCCCGUGGGGGCACCUGUGCCCGGGGUGGGGGAGGGGAUGCCACAUGCUCACAGUGACAGGUGGUGCAGGUCACAUCCUGAAGAUGUUGCAGGGGAGGGGGUGGCGUGAGAGUACGGCUGGCCAUGGUGGCGCCUGGGGCACCUCUGUGUCCAGUUCUAUCCACAGCACUCUUACGGGAACGUCUUCUCUUUCUCCUCAUGAGUGGUCAGCACCACGUGCCGUUUAACUCAAGAUUUCAGAGCACUUUGCAAGUCUGCUUGCUCCCCGAGUCUCAUUAAGCUGGGUGCCCUUCACCAACGUCCUUGUGACUCAUGUGGCUGCUAUUAGCGAACUUUGAUGCCUAUCUGUACUCCCAUAAAUAUUUCUCAUCCGCGCAGGAUGACACACUCAAUCAUGCCCAUUAUUUAUUUCAGUGUUCAUAGUAACACUCAUUCCCUUACCCAGAUGAGGCUUGGAAGAAUGGCGUGACUUCCUGCAGUCGGGUGCCGGUGAGAAUGAGGGCCAGGGCGCUCCCUCAGUCGGUCUGGUGCCACCAUCCACAUGCUUUUGACUCUGCCACAAGAGACGCAGGGAAAGGUAGUAUGGUCCUGCCCGUUCCUUGGGUCAUUUCCCAGAUUUCUUGGGGAAGAGCUGACGCUGUUUUACAAGGUCCAGGAUGGUUUUGUUGCCAUCAAAACAAGUGAUAGAUGCAAGGAGUGCUAACAUUGGCAAUUUGCUUGCUAAGUGUUAGAUGUCCUCUUGAACCUCCUCACCACCUGUGAGCUUUGGAAAGUUGUUCCCAUCUUACAGGUACGGACUGAAGCCAAGGAGGCAAAUUGUUUGCUAAAAGUCACGGGUAAUGUGAGUUGGCUUCUGACUGUGAGCAGUGCACCCCAGAGCCUUGCCCAGUAUGUAACCCUGUUCUUGCACCCUGAGGGUUGGGCUCAGGUAGAGCCAGCGGGAAGCCCAGGCCACUGCUCAUUCAGGCAAAUGCCUGUAGCUGGUUGUGUUUUCCAAAGACAGUGACAAUCAUAUUUCACACCUGAUGCAACUUUACGAUUGGCCUUGGCAUGUCUCCUGUGCUAGCCCCGUCCUGUGCGGGAGCCAUGCAGGCCUCGGAGUGGCCCUGGUCCUGGAUGAGCUAUCAGUCAAUGGCAGGCAUUUGCUGUCCAGCCACAUGGGGGCACCUUCUGGACAGUGCAUUUUACAGCUAAGGCUCCCCAGCCACCUGACAGCCAUGUGUGGAGUAGAGACGGCUGCUCCUGCCCAGCCUGCUCAAACAGCAAGUCGUGAGAAGAGUGAAUGGGUGCUGUUGUCUUCGGUCCUCACACGCUCACAGGAUGUGUUUUGCAGCCACAUCCUCUUCCUGUUACAUUCGGUACCUGGUGGUGGCGGUAGUAUUAGAAGGGAUCCCACAAAGGGUUAACAUUUGUGUGGCAGGCACCACACCACACUCUGCCUCACAACCUCUCUGGUCUGUUUCUCAAGUUAAUUCUGUGGGGAAAGUUCUGUUAUUCCAAGAAAGGCCAGAGAGGCUAGUGCCUCAUUCAUGGCUGCAGCAGGCGUGUGGUAGGACUGGCACUGAGCUAAAGUCCUCUCAGUGUACACAGUGUCAUGUUACCAACAUGUUCUUCUCUGUUGGAUCCUGGGACCCUCAGAGAUGGAAGCUAGAAGCAAUGCACUGGAGGAGCCCGGGACUGGAGAGGCUGACGGCGAGCCUGAGCGUUCCUGCAUGCGGAGAGCAGGGUGCUCCCCUGUGACAGUGUGGGUGAUGAUGAUUGGUCAUACAGACUGCGCAAAUAUUUAAGAUGGAAAUUGUAAAUGUUUUUCAAAAAAGAUGAGCCACAUUGUGUGUCAGGCGUGUCACCCGUGUGAUUUUAUCAACCGCACUGUGCUACAAAUGUGUUUUAGCCCAUUUCUGGAUGAGGACACUAAGACACAGGCCAGGUAAUUUCCUGAAAGUCAAUAGCAUUAAUUUAGCCUGACCAUAAGGUCCUGGCUUGCAACUGUCUCAGUGACAGCGCUAAGGAGGAUGCACCUACAACCCCAGAAACCACAUGUGCGUUGAUGGGAAGGACCAGCCCAUCCGUGGUGAGAUGUUGGGUGGGACACCAGCAAGGGCAGUGGGUGACUGCCCCCAGGGCAUCUCAGAAGGCCACGAGCUGCACUGUGGAGCUGAUGGGCAUAGCUGUGACUCAGCGUUCCCACCUGCUGGGGCCCACGUAUCAUCAGAACUGCAGAGAGCCUCUCUUAGCUCUCUAACACAUGGAAAAGCCUCUUCAGGCUUGCGUGGUCCUGAGAAGAGCACAUGGCACGAAGAGGCAUGUUUAGUUCUGCUUAGACGAGCACUCUUUGCUUCUGCUGGCUCUUACUAGAAUGUCCCAAGAUGCUUUGCUGUCAACCACAGGCAUCUCUGUCCUGCCUGGAGACGCAUUAAAAGGAGGUCAAGCGGCCUCAAAAGACUUCUCCACCCCAAAGGAAGUGACCAGCAAGUGGACAGCCUGAAGCCCAGAGCACUAGGACUGAGUGUCAGCCCUGCUGGGACUGGCCCCAGGGGAUCCAGCGGGGAUGGUUCCAGGAUACCCAAACCCCUGAUGCUCAACUCCUUCGUAUAACUUGGUGUAGUGUUUACACAUAUACAGGUACAACUCCCACAUAGUUUACAUCAUCUGCAGGUGCCCUGCAACGCCCCCUACAGUAAAUUAUGUAGUCGUUAUACGGUGUUGGUUAGGCAAUGAUGACAAGAAAAGUCUGGAUGUGCUCAGUUGGUACAUUUUUUUCCUGAAUAUUUUUGAGCUGCAUUUUCUUGAAUCUGUGCAAGUGGAACCACUGAUAGAGAAAGCCAGCCGCAUUUCAGGAUAAAAUUGAAGGCAAGGGGAAGGCAGCCUGUGGAGAAAAUUUCUAUCUUGAUGGUACAAGACCAUUUGUGAGGAAAGCAUGUUUUAAAAAUAGAGGCACCUGUUUCCACCGCUUAUUCCAGUUCUGAAGUCAAGGGUAUCUGCUUGGAUUUUUAAAAAGGAGGGAACUGGAAAAACCUUUGGUUGCCAUAGGAAUGAUGAUGUCUCUUCCAAUCAGAGCAGUAUGAACUCAAGUGAAAAAUUGGAAUCUGGAGAAGAUGAGGUAUUCCAGAGGAAAAAACAUCCAUUGUCCUCCAAAAAAAAAAAAAAAAAAUCUACAGCCAGUCAGGAGAAAUAAAUGCUCAAGGGUAUGUGAAGGACAGACUGGUGAGUUUCUGCAGACGUCGUCACUUGAGUGUUAAAUAAGCACUGGGGAUUUUUGGCUGGUCUGGUUUAAAGGUUAACUUCCAUAUUAACUUGGAGACUGUAUUAGAGUUGAUUUCCAUCCUUGCCACUCAGUUGCAGAGAAGAUGGGGUCCUGACAGAUCCUCAGGGCUUCAGGAAUGAUCCGUAGGUCUGGAGAGAAUGUGGGGGUGCCCUCUGGGUUCCCUGUCCUUUGAAACAGUUGCUAACCAGGUGCUGAGGUUGCGAUUUGGGCCAGACAAGCUCAUGGUUUGUUCCUGGUCCCACACUUGGUGUGGGAAUUAACCCCUGGGUCUGCUUUGGCUUCUCUGAAUACACAAGGACGUAUCUGCUUCGCAGACUCAACUACCUCCAGUGUUCAAAGCUGAACACGAUGCCCGGGCCACAGCUCCACAGGGGCUGUUGGAGUUCUCUGUCCUGGGUCCAACUGACUUCACUCCUCCGUUUUCCAGUUCAGUUCACACCGUGUGUUCAAGGAUCCAGUCUCUGGAUUCGGAUGCAUUGGGACAAGAUCACUGGUGUGUGACAGACACCCGACAUAAUCAUUUGAAACAAGAUCAAUUUUACAUUUCCUCUUGUCUACACUAAGUCCCAUGACACAGAGCACAGCUCUGCCUCUUCACAGAAGGGAGAGGGAUGGGGGCUACUCCAGCAGGUUGUUUGAAGCAGCAGCAUCAUCUGCACCCAGUAAACCUGUAGAGGGUUUGGAUGCAGCCUUCCUUGCCCUUGGCACUGUGGUCUGAACGGCUGUGCCCCCACCAGAUUUGUGCAUUGGGAUCUUCACCCACGAGGAGAUGGCAUUAGAAGGAGUGGUCUUUGGAACUGGAGCCCUUAGAAGGAGACCUGACAGCACUCCCACCCCCGGCUGCCCUUUCUAGCGAACAGGCACUCACGGGCCACCAAGUCUGCCAGGGCCUUGAUCUUGGCCCUCCUAGCUCUCGGCCUGUGAGACAUAGAUGUUUGCUGCUGAUCAGCCGCCCAGCCUGCGGUCUGAUGCAGCAGCCCGACAGGCUCAGCCCUCAGAGAUGACUGUGGGUUCACAAGGAGAGAUGGAGCCUGUGCGUGCUCUCCUGGCCCAACCCUGAGCUGGUCUGUCUGCAGCUGGACCAAGCACAGCAGCUGUGCCUGCUGGGCCAAGUCCCACAGCACAGUUUCCCAGACAGGUCUUUUUGUAAGCUGCUUUCGCUUGGUCUCGGGGUGGUCUUUCAGAACUUUGUUUGGCUUGGAGUUUCUUUUUGCUUUGUUUCACUUGUUAAUUCCAAGGAGGAACAAUGCUUAAUGGAAUAGGGUCUGUAAGACAAGUCCACAACUCCUCAGGGUGCACGUGGAAGACACCCACAGACAAGAAGCCCAGCCCCUCUGCCUGCGCACCCAACAGGUAUAAAAAGGCUUCCCUCCCCCAACCUGCACAUCCCUGGCUGUGUGUGGCAGGCGUGUGGAAAGGCAGAGGCACCCAGUGAGUGCUCUACCCUCCCACAAUUUCACCAUCCCUACUGCUGUGUGCACCUGGCCAGCCUGGUGUGGGGAGAGGCCAGGCUGUAACAGGCCUCCCAGUGCCCUUUGCAGUAACACAGUGAGGGAGCCAGAUAAAACCGGAGGCUUUCAGUCAAAGACCUGAGGGCACACAGAGAAUUUUCAGCCUCUUGCUUGCUUGGACUGCUGAUUCAUAGCCCUGACUUCUGUUGUUGAAGAAGGGAGCUUGGAUCAAAUUAUCCUGCACCCAAAGAGGCCAAACAGCCCACGUGUCCUGGCAGCCUUUCUCCUGUUGAGUCAUUGAGAUUAAAGAUCGCAAAGACCUAUUAUUUCCUCUGUCUAUCGUCAGAGUCUUAUUUCAAUGCCUCUGUUUCUUCUUCCUUCUGACUCUAAUUAAAAUAGCUGAGAAAAUAUCUCCAGCCUAAUUUGGAGUCAGCAGAGCGAAAGAAUGAUGGCUAUGUCAAAUCAAAUCAACCGGUAUUUAUUGAGUAACUGCACUCUUCAUUGAAAUUCUCUUUUGUGGUCCUUUUCUUAACAGUGUUACUUCCUCAACUGGCUCUCUGAAGCCAGU